AUCCUGGCUCAGGAUGAACGCUAGCUACAGGCUUAACACAUGCAAGUCGAGGGGCAGCAUUUUAGUUUGCUUGCAAACUGAAGAUGGCGACCGGCGCACGGGUGAGUAACACGUAUCCAACCUGCCGAUAACUCCGGAAUAGCCUUUCGAAAGAAAGAUUAAUACCGGAUAGCAUACGAAUAUCGCAUGAUAUUUUUAUUAAAGAAUUUCGGUUAUCGAUGGGGAUGCGUUCCAUUAGUUUGUUGGCGGGG
rnacentral:rRNA from 1 species